rnacentral:rRNA from 1 species
UACGUAGGUGGCAAGCGUUAUCCGGAUUUACUGGGUGUAAAGGGAGCGUAGGUGGUUUGGUAAGUCAGAAGUGAAAGCCCAGGGCUCAACCCUGGGACUGCUUUUGAAACUAUCAAACUAGAGUGCAGGAGAGGUAAGUGGAAUUCCUAGUGUAGCGGUGAAAUGCGUAGAUAUUAGGAGGAACACCAGUGGCGAAGGCGACUUACUGGACUGUAACUGACACUGAGGCUCGAAAGCGUGGGGAGCAAACAGG